GGGUCAGUGAGCCGAAUUGGUGAAGGCACCCGACUGUAAAUCGGGCACAUCAGAAACGUUACAGGUUCGAGUCCUGCCUGGCCCA
rnacentral:tRNA from 1 species